GGGGUUGUGGCUCAGUGGUAAAGUGCUUGCCUUGCAUGCAUAAGGUACUGGGUUCGAUUCUCAGCACCCCA
rnacentral:tRNA from 1 species